rnacentral:rRNA from 1 species
GUGGGGAAUCUUGCGCAAUGGGCGAAAGCCUGACGCAGCCAUGCCGCGUGAAUGAUGAAGGUCUUAGGAUUGUAAAAUUCUUUCACCGGGGACGAUAAUGACGGUACCCGGAGAAGAAGCUCCGGCUAACUUCGUGCCAGCAGCCGCGGUAAUACGAAGGGGGCUAGCGUUGCUCGGAAUUACUGGGCGUAAAGGGCGCGUAGGCGGACAGCUUAGUCAGAGGUGAAAGCCCAGGGCUCAACCUUGGAAUUGCCUUGGAUACUGGCUGUCUUGAGUUUGGGAGAGGUGAGUGGAACUCCGAGUGUAGAGGUGAAAUUCGUAGAUAUUCGUAAGAACACCAGUGGCGAAGGCGACUCACUGGCCCAAUACUGACGCUGAGGCGCGAAAGCGUGGGGAGCAAACAGGAUUAGAAACCCUUGUAGUCC